rnacentral:lncRNA from 1 species
UGUUUGAUAUCUCGUAACUUGAGCCGGGGGUCUUUCGGAAACAGCCUUUCUACUUCAUCAGAGGUAGAGGUAUGGACUGCGUACAUCUUACCCCCCCCCAGACCCCACUAAGUGGGAAUACACUGGGUUUGUUGUUGUUGUUGUUGUUGAAUGACAUGGCUAGUUAAUCUACUUAAACUUCACCAAACUAACCCAUGGGUUUCCUCCCAUGUAGCAUUUAAUUUAACAUCAUGGCACACCUCGAUUUUUGUGAUUACUUAGACUUCAUCAUGACACACAUCAUAUCUCACCUUGACC